rnacentral:rRNA from 1 species
AUUGAACGCUGGCGGCAGGCCUAACACAUGCAAGUCGAACGGUAACAGGGAGAAGCUUGCUUCUUUGCUGACGAGUGGCGGACGGGUGAGUAAUGUCUGGGAAACUGCCUGAUGGAGGGGGAUAACUACUGGAAACGGUAGCUAAUACCGCAUAACGUCGCAAGACCAAAAAGGGGGACCUUCGGGCCUCUUGCCAUCGGAUGUGCCCAGAUGGGAUUAGCUAGUAGGUGGGGUAACGGCUCACCUAGGCGACGAUCCCUAGCUGGUCUGAGAGGAUGACCAGCCACACUGGAACUGAGACACGGUCCAGACUCCUACGGGAGGCAGCAGUGGGGAAUAUUGCACAAUGGGCGCAAGCCUGAUGCAGCCAUGCCGCGUGUAUGAAGAAGGCCUUCGGGUUGUAAAGUACUUUCAGCGGGGAGGAAGGGAGUAAAGUUAAUACCUUUGCUCAUUGACGUUACCCGCAGAAGAAGCACCGGCUAACUCCGU